rnacentral:lncRNA from 1 species
UGAUGCCCUGGGGCCCACGUCGGUGCCGCGUGGCCACGGCUGAGUGCACUGCAGCUCCCACAGCGCGGGGCUGAUCCGGUGGGAAGCGGAGCCCCCGUCCUCUCCCCACCUCACCAGGAUCCGAUGCGCGCGCUGAGGCUGAGCCCGAAUUCCUGACCCCGCCGUGGGUCCGUGUUGGCUGCCUGGAGGCGAGACGGGCCCCAGCGGGGGACGGUGGGGGCCGCAGUGCUGGCCCUGAGCCCUCCGUCACUACUUGAGGAAGACGAGCAGGAAGAAGGUGGCGACGAUGAGGAUGAGGAUGCCGGCGGCGAAGCCGAGGCGCAGGUUCUCCACGGAGGUGAGGGGCGGCUACCCACAAUAUCCAACGUAUUUCCUAAGCACGACGCGUCGCUCUCGUCGUUUAGCUGCACAGUGAGCUCACCGAGCCCCGCGUGCGCAGCCCGGAGGCCGUCAGUGCUCAGCAUCGCAUCACCCCCCCCCGGGGCGCGUCGCUCACAGCGCCAGGCGCUGCCACUGCGUCCCCCC